rnacentral:rRNA from 1 species
UACGAAGGGGGCUAGCGUUGCUCGGAAUCACUGGGCUUAAAGGGCGCGUAGGCGGGCUGCUAAGUCUGGGGUGAAAUCCUGGAGCUCAACUCCAGAACUGCCUUUGAUACUGAAGAUCUUGAGUUCGGGAGAGGUGAGUGAACUGCGAGUGUAGAGGUGAAAUUCGUAGAUAUUCGCAAGAACACCAGUGGCGAAGGCGGCUCACUGGCCCGAUACUGACGCUGAGGCACGAAAGCGCGGGGAGCAACAGAUA